UUUUGCAAACUGAGCAUGUUCAAGCACCUCCGCAUACAAGGUGGAUCUCAGCAUCGUGACCCGAUCAUAAAUGUCAGCACGAAGGUCCUUGAGAAACUUCCUAGCCUUUCGGCUCUCGGGGGUGACCAUUAGAUGAGCAAACCUAAACAGUUGAACAAAACGGGGCACAUACUAGGCAACCAUCAAACUCCCUUGGCAAAGGUCCUGAAAUUCCUCCUCCUUCUUUUCUUGG
rnacentral:lncRNA from 1 species